GGUUGUGUAGUGUAGCGGUUAUCACUUUCGGUUCUGAUGCCUCGGCUUCCGAACAACCCCGGUUCGAUUCCGGGCACGACCU
rfam:Saitoella complicata NRRL Y-17804 DNA, contig: contig066, whole genome shotgun sequence.